ensembl:lncRNA
UGUUCUAAUGCUACAUUGUGUUAGCUAAUGGUGUUGAAAGGCUCAUUGAUGAUAAGAAAACCCUUGUGCAGUUAUCUUAGCACAUGGAUAAAAGUGGGAGUUUUCAUGGAAAACAUGAAAUUGCCUGGGUGACCACAAACUUUUGAACAACAGUGUAUAAACACACCAUUUUAAUCUCUUUAAACAUUACAGAAAGUGACCCCCUUUAACAUUUUUUUCCAAUCUUUCCAAACAUCCCACGAGGGCACCUUCAUUUUAUAUCCUCACAUGAAUUUUGAAGCAAAAUAAAGUUGUAUCCCAGGCUGAGGUCCCAGAGCACAGAUUACACUGGGUGUGUUUGUGUUUGUUAUUGGCGUCACGUCCAGCUCAGCAAUGAAGGACUUCCACAAGUGUUGCCACUAGAAAACGUUGCAAGAGCUCAAAAUGAUGGACCUCAUUUACAUUUGGCACAGUGGUAAUUUACUCCUGCCUCGCUGAGAUUAUCAUCUUGGGUUCAGUUAUGAAAACAGCUAUAAAUAGGUCAUGUUUCAGGAGAAAGCCUCUGUCUCCUGUAAAAUUCAUGUUGUGACAUGUUUCUGGCACCUGUCAGCUCAUGGCUCAAGGUGUCAUUCUGCACUUCUCACCUUCAGCGCUGAUAGAAAUUGUUCACACCCCAUGGAAGUUUUCAGCGUUUCACCAUUGAAUCACAGUCGAUUUAAUGUGGCUUGAAAUGAAAACAUAUUCCUACAAUGAAAUGUCAUUUUACCAAAAAUCCAAAAUGUCACCACUUUAAGUCAGUAGUCAGUAGAUGUAUGGAAGCAAAUCAGACUCAUCAGAUUCUGAAUUUUAAAAGCUGCUGAAUUUCUUACUUUGAAUUUUUUUGCAUCAAAAUUUCGUAUGUGAAUUUUUUAUGCCUGAAUUUAGCUCAUCAAAAUUCUAAAAACCAGUUAAAAAUUCAAUGUCUUCAAAAUUCGCCAUCAAAAAAAUUCAAUGUCUUCAAAAUUCACCAUCAAAAAAAUUUGAUGUGUUCAAAAUUCACCAUCAAAAAAUUCAAUGUUCAAAAUUCGCCAUCAAAAAAUUCAGUGUUCAAAAUUCGCCAUCAAAAAAUUCAAUGUUAAAAAAUUUGCUGUCAAAAAAUUCGCUGUUCACAUCUGGGGGACUCAGGCGUAAACAAUCGAUCCUGGCCAAAAUCGAACCAACGCCCAGCCAAUCACGUGGCGCUCCUCCGGUCAUGUGACGUAGACGGUUCACCUCACAAGACCGGGGUCAACCACGGCUACCAGCAUGAACGACGGCGCUUCAGACGGGAUCUGCAGAGACUUUGAUUCAUCUGCCGUCUGGACAUGGAGUGAUGUGGGUCUCCUCUAAUCAGACAGUGGGAUGCUGCAGGUCACUAGACUGACCUCCUGUGCUUUGUGAAGGGGAGGAGCUCACAGCGCCACCUGCUGCUCGUUGAGGACAGUAACUGCAGAACGAUCCCAGCUUUCAUGUCAGACAGGGGCGGAUCCAGAUUAAUUUUAGUGG